rnacentral:lncRNA from 1 species
CCUGGUUAAAACCAAUUGAUGGUCCUAUUGAAGGAGAACUGAGAUCCCAUAUAUUCCAGGUGAAUUUGCACUAAAUCAAACAACACCUGCUUAUGGUGGCCUUUCAUAUGUUUCAUAAGGAUACAAAUUCUCUUCCAACGUUUACCAUGUAUCCAUGUCUUACUUAGGGUAACUAGGCCAAAAUUAUUUGAAUGGGAUGAAGCAUGAGUGAGUUGAAAUCUCAGUCUGC